UACAGAGGGGGCAAGCGUUGUUCGGAAUUACUGGGCGUAAAGGGCGCGUAGGCGGCCUUCUAAGUCGAACGUGAAAUCCCCGGGCUCAACCCGGGAACUGCGUCCGAUACUGGAAGGCUUGAAUCCGGGAGAGGGAUGCGGAAUUCCAGGUGUAGCGGUGAAAUGCGUAGAGAUGGGGGAGAACACUCGUGGCGAAGGCGCCUAUCUGGCCCGAUACUGACGCUGAGGCGCGAAAGCUAGGGGAGCAAACGGG
rnacentral:rRNA from 1 species